UCAGGAGAUUUCACCGUUAAC
rnacentral:siRNA from 1 species